AACCUUCUGUAUUCUCGCUGAGAUUUCGUCACACACCAGACCACAAGGGCCGAUGAGACUCCCAAGAUAAUUUAAACU
rnacentral:pre_miRNA from 1 species